UACGAAGGGGGCUAGCGUUGCUCGGAAUCACUGGGCGUAAAGCGCACGUAGGCGGCUUUUUAAGUCAGGGGUGAAAUCCUGGAGCUCAACUCCAGAACUGCCUUUGAUACUGAGAAGCUUGAGUUCGGGAGAGGUGAGUGGAACUGCGAGUGUAGAGGUGAAAUUCGUAGAUAUUCGCAAGAACACCAGUGGCGAAGGCGGCUCACUGGCCCGAUACUGACGCUGAGGUGCGAAAGCGUGGGGAGCAACAGGA
rnacentral:rRNA from 1 species